rnacentral:rRNA from 1 species
UGAUUAAAUUUAUUUUUAAAUAUUUUUUAAAUUAAAAUUUUUAUUAAAAAUACUUUUUUUUUUUUUAUUUAUAUAGAUAAAAUUUUUAUUAAUUAUAGUGAAGUAUAGUAUAGUGAUAGAACAUUGAAAUAGUGAUUUGAAAAUAAAUAUUUUUAAAAGAAAAUUUAAUUAAUUGUACCUUGUGUAUCAGGGUUUAUUAAAUUAAAAUUAUUAAUUUUAAUAUUCUCGAAUUUAAAAGAGCUAAAAAAAUUAUAAAUUUUAUUGUGAAAUAAAUAUUUAAAAUAAUUUUUUAGUAAUGAAACGUUAUUCGUUUUUAAAUUUAUCUAGUUUUUUAAGAAAUAAAUUUAAUUUAGUUAUCUAUUAUUUAUUUGAAUAAUUUAUUAUGAAAAUGAAAUAGAUAAUUAAUAUUUUAAGGGAUAAGCUUUAAAAUAAAAAUUUUAUAAAUAAUAUAUUAAUUAUAUAAAAUUUAUAGGAAUGGAAGUAUUUAUUAUUAUUAGUGUGUUAUAACAAAUUUUAUUGAUAAUAUAAUUUAUUUAUUAUUUUAAAUAUUUUAUUAAAAUAAUUAAUUUAAUAUUAAAAUUAAUGAAAUAAUGAUAAAAUUAGUAUAAAUUAAUUUUAAUAUAAUUUAUUAAAUAAAGGUUAAGUUAAGGAAUUCGGCAAAUAUUUUUUUCGCCUGUUUAUUAAAAACAUGUCCUUUUGAAAAUAAUUUAAGGUCCGGCCUGCCCUCUGAUGAAAAUUGAAUGGCCGCGAUAAUUUGAUCGUGCAAAGGUAGCAUAAUAAUUAGUUUCUUGAUUAGGAACUGGAAUGAAAGGUUAAACGAAAAAAAAACUGUCUCGAUUUAAUUUUAAUUAGAAUUUUAUUUUUAAGUAAAAAAGCUUAAAUAAAUUUAAAAGACGAGAAGACCCUAUAGAGUUUUAUAUUUAUUAUUUAAUUUUUUAGUUUAAGAAUUUAAUUUUAAAAUUAUUUAUAUAAAUAUUUAAUUGGGGUGAUUGAAAAAUUGAAUAAACUUUUUUUAAAAAUUAAACAUUGAUGUAUGAUUAAAUGAUCCAUAAAUAAUGAUUAUAAGAUUAAAUUACCUUAGGGAUAACAGCGUAAUUUUUUUUGAGAGUUCUUAUCGAAAAAAAAGUUUGCGACCUCGAUGUUGGAUUAAAAUUAAUUUUUGGUGCAGGAGUUAAAAAAUUAGGUCUGUUCGACCUUUAAAAUUUUACAUGAUCUGAGUUUAAACCGGUGUAAGCCAGGUUGGUUUCUAUCUUUAAAUAAAAUAAAUAUUUUAGUACGAAAGGAUUUAAUAUUUAUAAUAAUUAUUAAUUAAAGAUUUUUAUUAAAUUUAAAUUACUUUGGCAGAAUAGUGUUUUAAAUUUAGAAUU